rnacentral:piRNA from 1 species
UCCUUCCUUGCCUUGGGAACUUUCUCU